rnacentral:rRNA from 1 species
AUGAACGCUAGCUACAGGCUUAACACAUGCAAGUCGAGGGGCAGCAUGGUCUUAGCUUGCUAAGGCCGAUGGCGACCGGCGCACGGGUGAGUAACACGUAUCCAACCUGCCGUCUACUCUUGGACAGCCUUCUGAAAGGAAGAUUAAUACAAGAUGGCAUCAUGAGUCCACAUGUUCACAUGAUUAAAGGUAUUCCGGUAGACGAUGGGGAUGCGUUCCAUUAGAUAGUAGGCGGGGUAACGGCCCACCUAGUCUUCGAUGGAUAGGGGUUCUGAGAGGAAGGUCCCCCACAUUGGAACUGAGACACGGUCCAAACUCCUACGGGAGGCAGCAGUGAGGAAUAUUGGUCAAUGGGCGAGAGCCUGAACCAGCCAAGUAGCGUGAAGGAUGACUGCCCUAUGGGUUGUAAACUUCUUUUAUAAAGGAAUAAAGUCGGGUAUGCAUACCCGUUUGCAUGUACUUUAUGAAUAAGGAUCGGCUAACUCCGUGCCAGCAGCCGCGGUAAUACGGAGGAUCCGAGCGUUAUCCGGAUUUAUUGGGUUUAAAGGGAGCGUAGAUGGAUGUUUAAGUCAGUUGUGAAAGUUUGCGGCUCAACCGUAAAAUUGCAGUUGAUACUGGAUAUCUUGAGUGCAGUUGAGGCAGGCGGAAUUCGUGGUGUAGCGGUGAAAUGCUUAGAUAUCACGAAGAACUCCGAUUGCGAAGGCAGCCUGCUAAGCUGCAACUGACAUUGAGGCUCGAAAGUGUGGGUAUCAAACAGGAUUAGAUACCCUGGUAGUCCACACGGUAAACGAUGAAUACUCGCUGUUUGCGAUAUACAGCAAGCGGCCAAGCGAAAGCGUUAAGUAUUCCACCUGGGGAGUACGCCGGCAACGGUGAAACUCAAAGGAAUUGACGGGGGCCCGCACAAGCGGUGGAGCAUGUGGUUUAAUUCGAAGCAACGCGAAGAACCUUACCUAAACUUGACAUCGAUCUGACAAUCUGUGUAAUGCAGACUCUCUUCGGAGCAGAGAAGACAGGUGGUGCAUGGUUGUCGUCAGCUCGUGCCGUGGUGUGUCGGCUUAAGUGCCAUAACGAGCGCAACCCUUGUUGUCAGUUACUAACAGGUUCCGCUGAGGACUCUGACAAGACUGCCAUCGUAAGAUGUGAGGAAGGUGGGGAUGACGUCAAAUCAGCACGGCCCUUACGUCCGGGGCUACACACGUGUUACAAUGGGGGGUACAGAGGGCCGCUACCACGCGAGUGGAUGCCAAUCCCAAAAACCUCUCUCAGUUCGGACUGGAGUCUGCAACCCGACUCCACGAAGCUGGAUUCGCUAGUAAUCGCGCAUCAGCCACGGCGCGGUGAAUACGUUCCCGGGCCUUGUACACACCGCCCGUCAAGCCAUGGGAGCCGGGGGUACCUGAAGUGCGUAACCGCGAGGAGCGCCCUAGGGUAAAACUGGUGACUGGGGCU